GCCAGGUAUGGUGGUGCAUGCCUGUAGUCCCAGCUAUUCAGGAGGCUGAGGUGGGAGGAUCACUUGAGCCCAGGAGGUCGAGGCUGCAGUGAGCCAUGAUUGUGCCACUGCACUUCGGCCUGGGCAACAGAGCAAGACCCUGUCUCAA
rfam:Gorilla gorilla gorilla genomic chromosome, chr19, whole genome shotgun sequence